UUGUGGAGGAGGACGCCGAAGGUGGGGCUAAUGACUGGGGUGAAGUCGUAACAAGGUAGCCGUACCGGAAGGUGCGGCUGGAUCACCUCCUAACAGGGAGACAACAAAAUGUUUAAUAUUAAUUUUGUCACCUUAGGUCGAUCGGUAUCUCACAUUCUUAAUUAUUUAAGGAUUUCAUUUCCUAAGUUUUUUCUAGGUCACACCCAUUACUUUUCCUGGGCCAUUAGCUCAGGUGGUUAGAGCGCACCCCUGAUAAGGGUGAGGUCCCUGGCUCAAGUCCAGGAUGGCCCAUAUCUCUAUGUUGGGGGUAUAGCUCAGUUGGUAGAGCGCCUGCUUUGCAAGCAGGAUGUCAGCGGUUCGAGUCCGCUUACCUCCACUGAUCACCACCUCUUCCAUAAAUUUUUAGAAGGGAAACGUUUUGAGCUGUGAUCAAAUUCUGAACGAAUCUAGCUUCCUAAUAUUUUAUUAAGAAGCUGGACUCAUUGAAUUAAUUUCAUUGUUUUCAGAGAACCUUGACAACUGCAUAGAUUAUUUUUAAAGACAAUAAGCAUCUUUAUUGAUGCAGAUUUAUUAUUUGUGCAAAUGCAUUAAUAACAAUUCUAUUAAGCUGAUGCUUCAAUUAUUGAAGUUAUUGGUCAAGCUACAA
rnacentral:misc_RNA from 1 species